UACGUAGGGUGCAAGCGUUAUCCGGAAUUAUUGGGCGUAAAGAGCUCGUAGGCGGUUUGUCGCGUCUGCUGUGAAAACCCGACGGCUCAACCUCGGGCCUGCAGUGGGUACGGGCAGACUAGAGUGCGGUAGGGGAGAUUGGAAUUCCUGGUGUAGCGGUGGAAUGCGCAGAUAUCAGGAGGAACACCGGUGGCGAAGGCGGGUCUCUGGGCCGUAACUGACGCUGAGGAGCGAAAGCGUGGGGGAGCGAACAGG
rnacentral:rRNA from 1 species